rnacentral:rRNA from 1 species
GACGAACGCUGGCGGCGCGCUUAACACAUGCAAGUCGAACGGAAAGGCCUGCUUUCCCUUGUGGAUUGCGGGUACUCGAGUGGCGAACGGGUGAGUAACACGUGAGUGAUCUGCCCCCAACUUGGGUAUAAGCCUGGGAAACUGGGUCUAAUUCCCGAUAGGACUGCAGGGUGGUGCCUGUGGUGGAAAACGAUUUUCUAGUGGUUGGGGAUGAGCUCGCGGCCUAUCAGCUUGUUGGUGGGGUAAUGGCCUACCAAGGCGGCGACGGGUAGCCGGCCUGAGAGGGUGGACGGCCACAUUGGGACUGAGAUACGGCCCAGGCUCCUACGGGAGGCAGCAGUGGGGAAUAUUGCACAAUGGGCGGAAGCCUGAUGCAGCGACGCCGCGUGGGGGAUGACGGCCUUCGGGUUGUAAACUCCUUUCGACCGCGAGGAAGCCACCUGGUUGGAAGGGUGGUGACGGUAGUGGUAGAAGAAGCACCGGCUAACUACGUG